rnacentral:rRNA from 1 species
AUUGAACGCUGGCGGCAUGCCUUACACAUGCAAGUCGAACGGCAGCAUGGAAGAGCUUGCUCUUCUGAUGGCGAGUGGCGAACGGGUGAGUAAAGCAUCGGAACGUACCGUGUAGUGGGGGAUAACGUAGCGAAAGUUACGCUAAUACCGCAUACGCACUGAGGUGGAAAGCAGGGGAUCGCAAGACGUUGCGCUAUACGAGCGGGCGAUGUCAGAUUAGCUAGUUGGUAGGGUAAAGGCCUACCAAGGCGACGAUCUGUAGCGGGUCUGAGAGGAUGAUCCGCCACACUGGGACUGAGACACGGCCCAGACUCCUACGGGAGGCAGCAGUGGGGAAUUUUGGACAAUGGGGGAAACCCUGAUCCAGCCAUGCCGCGUGAGUGAAGAAGGCCUUCGGGUUGUAAAGCUCUUUCGGCUGGGAAGAAAUCGCACAGGCUAAUACUCUGUGUGGAUGACGGUACCAGCAUAAGAAGCACCGGCUAACUACGUGCCAGCCGCCGCCGUAA